CAGUAGCCGCGGUAAUACGUAGGGUGCAGGCGUUAAUCGGAAUUACUGGGCGUAAAGCGUGCGCAGGCGGUUAUAUAAGCCAGAUGUGAAAUCCCCGGGCUCAACCUGGGAACUGCAUUUGAGACUGUAUGGCUAGAGUGUGUCAGAGGGGGGUAGAAUUCCACGUGUAGCAGUGGAAUGCGUAAAUAUGUGGAGGAAUACCGAUGGCGAAGGCAGCCCCCUGGGAUAACACUGACGCUCAUGCACGAAAGCGUGGGGAGCAAACAGGAUUAGAUACCCCUGUAGUCCCUGUCUCUUAUAA
rnacentral:rRNA from 1 species